rnacentral:rRNA from 1 species
AUUGAACGCUGGCGGCAGGCCUAACACAUGCAAGUCGAACGAGUGGCGGACGGGUGAGUAAUGUCUGGUAAACUGCCCGAUGGAGGGGGAUAACUACUGGAAACGGUAGCUAAUACCGCAUACCAUCGGAUGUGCCCAGAUGGGAUUAGCUAGUAUGUGGGGUAUCGGCUCCCCUAGGCGACGAUCCCUAGCUGGUCUGAGAGGAUGACCAGACAAACUGGAACUGAGACACGGUCCAGACUCCUACGGGAGGCAGGAGUGGGGAGUAUUGCACAAUGGGCGCAAGCCUGAUGCAGCCAUACCGCGUGUAUGAAGAAGGCCUUCGGGUUGUAAAGUACUUUCAGCGAUGAGGCGUUGCUCGCAGAAGAAGCACCGGCUAACUCCGUGCCAGAGGCCGCUGUAAUUC